rnacentral:pre_miRNA from 1 species
ACACAAAUCACUCUGAGAUCUCUUUAAAAUGCAGAUCCUGUUAGAAUAGAUCUGGUUAGGGCAAGAGGUUCCGCAGUUCUAAAACAUUCCCAGGUGGUGCCCAU